UACGAAGGGUGCAAGCGUUAAUCGGAAUUACUGGGCGUAAAGCGUGCGUAGGCGGUGAGUUAAGUCUGUCGUGAAAUCCCCGGGCUCAACCUGGGAAUGGCGAUGGAUACUGGCUCGCUAGAGUGUGAUAGAGGAUGGUGGAAUUCCCGGUGUAGCGGUGAAAUGCGUAGAGAUCGGGAGGAACAUCAGUGGCGAAAGCGACUUCCUGGACCAAUACUGACGCUCAUGUGCGAAAGCGUGGGGAGCAAACAGG
rnacentral:rRNA from 1 species